rnacentral:rRNA from 1 species
GAUGAACGCUGGCGGCGUGUCUAAUACAUGCAAGUCGAGCGUACGGACGCGGAGCUUGCUUCUCUGCUUUUAGUGGCGGACGGGUGAGUAACACGUGGAUACCCUACCUAUAAGACUGGGAUCACUUCGGGGACCCGGAGCCAAUACCGGCUGCUAUUUUGAACCUCAUGGAUCAAACGUGCAUGCCGGUCUUGAUGUCCCUUGUUGAUGGAACCGCGUUGCAUUAGCUAGUUGGUAAGGUACCGGCGUACCAAAGCAACGAUGCAUAGCAAACCUGAGAGGCUGAUCGGCCACACUGGAACUGAGACACGGUCCAGACUCCUACGGGAGGCAGCAGUAGGGAAUAUUCCACAAUGGGCGAAAGCCUGACGGAGCAACGCCGCGUGAGUGAUGAAGGUCUUCGGAUCGUAAAACUCUGUUAUUAGGGAAGAACAGAUGUGUAAGUAACUGUGCACAUCUUGACGGUACCUAAUCAGAAAGCCACGGCUAACUACGUG